rnacentral:rRNA from 1 species
UAGAAGAUGACGAGUGGCGGACGGGUGAGUAAUGCUUGGGAACUUGCCUUUGCGAGGGGGAUAACAGUUGGAAACGACUGCUAAUACCGCAUAAUGUCUACGGACCAAACGGGGCUUAGGCUCCGGCGCAAAGAGAGGCCCAAGUGAGAUUAGCUAGUUGGUAAGGUAACGGCUUACCAAGGCGACGAUCUCUAGCUGUUCUGAGAGGAAGAUCAGCCACACUGGGACUGAGACACGGCCCAGACUCCUACGGGAGGCAGCAGUGGGGAAUAUUGCACAAUGGGGGAAACCCUGAUGCAGCCAUGCCGCGUGUGUGAAGAAGGCCUUCGGGUUGUAAAGCACUUUCAGUUGUGAGGAAAAGUUAGUAGUUAAUACCUGCUAGCCGUGACGUUAACAACAGAAGAAGCACCGGCUAACUCCGUGCCAGCAGCCGCGGUAAUACGGAGGGUGCGAGCGUUAAUCGGAAUUACUGGGCGUAAAGCGCACGCAGGCGGUUUGUUAAGCUAGAUGUGAAAGCCCCGGGCUCAACCUGGGAUGGUCAUUUAGAACUGGCAGACUAGAGUCUUGGAGAGGGGAGUGGAAUUCCAGGUGUAGCGGUGAA